GGUGCACGGGAGGGUGGGAGGAGACACAGGCAGGACAGGUGACCCCAACUGACCAAAGGAAUAUUCCAGACCAAACUAUAUCAGUAUGCAAAGUGAGGGGGGGAACGGGGGAAACAUUUGGGGUGAUGCCAUUUGUCUUCCCAAGAAUCUGUUACACCUGAUGGGGCCCUGCUCUCCUGGAGAUGUCCAAACACCUGCCUGCCCAUGGGAAGCAGUGAACUAAUUCCUUGUUUUGCUUUGCUAGUGUGAGCAGCUUUUGCUUUCCCUAUUAAACUGCCUUUAUCUCCACCCACGAGUUUCCAGCUUUUACCCUUCUGAUUCUCUCCCCAGAGAGAGUUGUUCCUGCUGGUGGGAAAUGAGGGAGUGCCUGUGUGGGGCUUGAUUGCUGCCUGGGGUUAAACCACGACCUGGGUUAGUGGGAGCCCUGCAACAGCUUUUCAAGAGAGAUUUGAAAAAUUUCCAAAAUGUUUUACAUGUAAAGUGAGUAAGUGACUGCAGAGGAGUGGUGGGAUUUUUGUAUUUUUCAAAAACCAUCCAACUGACAGAAUUCUUUGUGUGAUUAAGGACGACAUAUUCACUACCAUUUAUCUUCUUUUUUUUCCCCCACUGCUGCCUAUCUGUUGAUUUUGUCAAGGGCUUCUUUUUCUGGUUGAGGGAAAACUGAGGCUUUUUUAUUUCUUUUGUGUAUACACAUCUUGUCUUGAAAAACUGUGGUUGUUGUGAGCAUAUUUAAUGGCUCUUCCCAAAGACAUCUGGCAGGUUAGAAAGCAGAUCCAAUACUCUUAUGUUAUUAACUGCUGCAGAAGGUAGCACAGGGGAAGUGACAGCAAAAAGGGAAUUACUUUCCUAGUUACCAAUGAGCAGGGGCGAAACAUGGGAUUUAUAGAAAUCCAUUGACAAUUUCAGACUCGUUCUGCAACAGGAUUUAAGCUCUGCUCCUGCUCCUAACCCUCCCAAGGACAAAACUCUCGAGAUAACUUUUCACAUGAUCAUGAUGAACCGUAUGCUUUGCCACAUUACAGAAAUAGUUUUUUUUGGUUAAUGCUGCAUUUGCAAACUCCCGAGGAAAAGCUGUGGUGCACACAGGGUGUCAAGGGCUGCAGGAACUAAUAUUAGUGCCUGCUGUGACUUAGUCUUGCUGCUCAGGUGUUUUUGCGGCUCCAUGGGUAACAUCUGUCUGAGGGAGUGACACCAGACUGCCAUUGGCUUCCACUGCACCCUGGUUUUGAGAAUAGUAAUGAGAGCAACCAAGGUAAGAUGGGUGUGUCUGCCUGUGGAUGCACCAUGCACCUUCAUGCUGGCAGAAAACAGAGUGAAAACAUGAUCCAACUUACAAGCUGACUGUGCAAGAGCAAGGUGAGAGCCCGGGGCAGGGUCAGUGCCUGUCUGGAUGCAGGUGAGCUUUCCCAGCCCUGCAGCUCCAGCUGCCCUCUCCCUUGCAGCCCCUGUCGGGCCGGGCAGCAGCGCAGCACACGCGCAGUGCAACGUGAAGGCACUGAGAUGAUGAGCAGUGGAGAGCGUUUGUACCAGCCACAGAGGGGUGCAGGUGCUUGGCAGCAGCAGCACUUUGAUCCUGUUCACACCAGCACGCCUCAAUUCUCACAUCCAGUGCUCUCCGUGGAGACACUCAGACGUGUUUUGCUCAAAUGAAGGCACUGCACCAUCUGAAUCAGUGUUUUUGUGCUACAGCAGCCCCAGUGUUUGGUAAGGAUCAGGGCAGAGAACACACGUUGACUUUAACUGCGGUGGGAAGCGUUCUCUGCAGGCUCCAGCAGCUUUCUGGAGCUGCCUCACAAACUUACCCACUUCCUUGUCACUGGAACCACAGUUCAGUCCUGUGUUUCUAACCCUUGCCUGGCUAUUGUAGGACGCUGAACUGGGUACUCAGCAGUACCUCUAACCUUAAGGUAACCCUCAAGAUUCAAGCAUACACUUUAUCCAGAAACUGUAGGAAGGCUACAAGGGAAAAACCUCCUUUAUUUCAACAUUUUAAUGAACUAUAAUAGUUUUUCUACAUGGACAAACUUUUAUUUUUACUGGCAGAAGCAUCUUGGAAGUUCACAACUCCAAACACAGAUUUAAGAAGAAACAUCCAAACUUUUAAUCUCUAAAUCUUGUUUAAGUGGACUUCAUCAUUCCUGUUUCCUUGAAAGAGGUUAGUGGCUUGGGGCAGUAUUUUAUC